rnacentral:rRNA from 1 species
GCAUAUCAAUAAGCGGAGGAAAAGAAACCAACAGGGAUUGCCUCAGUAACGGCGAGUGAAGCGGCAACAGCUCAAAUUUGAAAUCUGGUCCUUGUGGCCCGAGUUGUAAUUUGCAGAGGAUGCUUUUGGCGCGGUGCCUUCCAAGUUCCCUGGAACGGGACGCCUUAGAGGGUGAGAGCCCCGUACGGUUGGACACCAAGCCUUUGUAAAGCUCCUUCGACGAGUCGAGUAGUUUGGGAAUGCUGCUCUAAAUGGGAGGUAUAUUUCUUCUAAAGCUAAAUACCGGCCAGAGACCGAUAGCGCACAAGUAGAGUGAUCGAAAGAUGAAAAGCACUUUGAAAAGAGGGUUAAACAGCACGUGAAAUUGUUAAAAGGGAAGCGCUUGUGACCAGACUUGCGCCCGGUGAAUCACCCAGCUCUCGCGGCUGGGGCACUUUGCCGGCUCAGGCCAGCAUCAGCUUGCCGUCGGGGACAAAAGCUUCGGGAACGUAGCUCUCUUCGGGGAGUGUUAUAGCCCGUUGCAUAAUACCCUUCGGCGGGCUGAGGUACGCGCUCCGCAAGGAUGCUGGCAUAAUGGUCAUCAGCGACCCGUCUUGAAACACGGACCAAGGAGUCAACCUUAUGUGCGAGUGUUCGGGUGUCAAACCCCUACGCGUAAUGAAAGUGAACGCAGGUGAGAGCUUCGGCGCAUCAUCGACCGAUCCUGAUGUUCUCGGAUGGAUUUGAGUAAGAGCAUAUAGGGUUGGACCCGAAAGAAGGUGAACUAUGCGUGUAUAGGGUGAAGCCAGAGGAAACUCUGGUGGAGGCUCGCAGCGGUUCUGACGUGCAAAUCGAUCGUCAAAUAUGCGCAUGGGGGCGAAAGACUAAUCGAACCUUCUAGUAGCUGGUUUCCGCCGA